CAGCAGCCACGGGAAUACGGAGGGAGCUAGCGUUGUUCGGAAUUACUGGGCGUAAAGCGCACGUAGGCGGCUUUGUAAGUUAGAGGUGAAAGCCUGGAGCUCAACUCCAGAAUUGCCUUUAAGACUGCAUCGCUUGAAUCCGGGAGAGGUGAGUGGAAUUCCGAGUGUAGAGGUGAAAUUCGUAGAUAUUCGGAAGAACACCAGUGGCGAAGGCGGCUCACUGGACCGGCAUUGACGCUGAGGUGCGAAAGCGUGGGGAGCAAACAGGAUUAGAUACCCCCGUAGUCCCUGUCUCUUAUAC
rnacentral:rRNA from 1 species